rnacentral:rRNA from 1 species
GACGAAGCGUGCGAACGUUAUUCGGAAUCACUGGGCUUAAAGGGCUCGUAGGCGGUCUGUUGCGUCGGGAGUGAAAACUUACAGCUUAACUGUGAGCGUGCUUUCGAUACGGGCAGACUUGAGGUAUUCAGGGGAGAACGGAAUUCCUGGUGUAGCGGUGAAAUGCGCAGAUAUCAGGAGGAACACCGGUGGCGAAGGCGGAUCUCUGGGCCAGUACUGACGCUGAGGAGCGAAAGCGUGGGGAGCGAACAGG